rnacentral:tRNA from 1 species
GUUUUAAUAAUUUAAAUGUAAAAUACUGGUCUUGUAAACCAGAUAUGAUAGAUAUCUUAAAACU